UACGUAGGGGGCAAGCGUUAUCCGGAAUUACUGGGUGUAAAGGGUGCGUAGGCGGCAAUGUAAGUCAGAUGUGAAAGCCCGGGGCUCAACUCCGGGAUUGCAUUUGAAACUGCAUAGCUAGAGUACAGGAGAGGUGAGUGGAAUUCCUAGUGUAGCGGUGAAAUGCGUAGAUAUUAGGAGGAACACCAGUGGCGAAGGCGACUCACUGGACUGUAACUGACGCUGAGGCACGAAAGCGUGGGGAGCGAACAGG
rnacentral:rRNA from 1 species